GCCUAGUUAACUUCGAUGAUAGCGUGCCUGUUUUGUAAGCGCUAGGUCGCGGGUUCGAUUCCCGCACGGGGCU
rnacentral:tRNA from 1 species